rnacentral:tRNA from 1 species
CAGGGAGACAACAAAAUGUUUAAUAUUAUUAUUUUGUCACCUUAGGUCGAUCGGUAUCUCACGUUCUUAAUUUAUUAAGAAUUUCAUUUCCUAAGUUUUUCUAGGUCACACCCAUUAUUUUUCCUGGGCCAUUAGCUCAGGUGGUUAGAGCGCACCCCUGAUAAGGGUGAGGUCCCUGGUUCAAGUCCAGGAUGGCCCAUAUCUCUAUGUUGGGGGUAUAGCUCAGUUGGUAGAGCGCCUGCUUUGCAAGCAGGAUGUCAGCGGUUCGAGUCCGCUUACCUCCACUGAUUACCACCUCUUCCAUAACCGGUAGAAAGGAAAUUUUUUGAGUUGUGAUCAAAUUCUGAAAGAAUCUAGCUUCCUAAUGAAAUCAUUAAGAUGCUGGACUCAUUGAAUUAAUUUCAUUGUUUUCAGAGAACCUUGACAACUGCAUAGAUUAUUUUUAAAGACAAUAAGCAUCUUUAAUGAUGCAGAUUUAUUAUUUGUGCGAAUGCAUUAAUAACAAUUCUAUUAAGCUGAUGCUUCAAUUAUGAAGUUAUU